UCGACGAGAACGGGUUUAAGUUUACUUAAACUGUCAGCUAAGUGGCGCACGGGUGAGUAAUGUAUAGUUAGCCUGCCCUAGAGAGGGGGAUAACAGUUGGAAACGACUGCUAACACCCCAUAUGCCUUUAAUACACAAGUAUGCAAGGGAAAUAUUUAUAGCUCUAGGAUGGGACUGUAUGGUAUCAGUUAGUUGGUGAGGUAAUGGCUCACCAAGACAAUGACGCCUAACUGGUUUGAGAGGAUGAUCAGUCACACUGGAACUGAGACACGGUCCAGACUCCUACGGGAGGCAGCAGUGGGGAAUAUUGCACAAUGGAGGAAACUCUGAUGCAGCAACGCCGCGUGGAGGAUGACACUUUUCGGAGCGUAAACUCCUUUUAUAUAGGAAGAUAAUGACGGUACUAUAUGAAUAAGCACCGGCUAACUCCGUGCCAGCAGCCGCGGUAAU
rnacentral:rRNA from 1 species